rnacentral:rRNA from 1 species
UACGGGGGGGGCAAGCGUUGUUCGGAAUUACUGGGCGUAAAGGGCUCGUAGGCGGCCAACUAAGUCAGUUGUGAAAUCCCUCGGCUUAACCGGGGAAUUGCGUCUGAUACUGGAUGGCUUGAGUUUGGGAGAGGGAUGCGGAAUUCCAGGUGUAGCGGUGAAAUGCGUAGAUAUCUGGAGGAACACCGGUGGCGAAGGCGGCAUCCUGGACCGAUACUGACGCUGAGGAGCGAAAGCCAGGGGAGCAAACGGG